GAACCAAUUUGAAGCAUUACAUCAAAAGUUAUGCCAUUUUGAAUUUCCAUGCACACUUUGUGAUCAAAUGACCAUAACUUCUCAACCAUUCAUCAUAUGGACAUGAACUAGGACUUUUUUGAAAUGGGAGACAAAAAUCUACAACUUUCAUGUUCACCAAAAAUCCAUUUGAAACUUAUUUGACAUUGACAAGUCAAGUUGAAAGUGGACCAAAACUUGCCAAAUUUGGAAACUUUGAAUUAUAGGUCAUUUUCCAUUUUUAGUAACUUUUGCCAUGACCUUU
rnacentral:lncRNA from 1 species